AAGGAAGUUGACCUGCGAUCGACAGAAGGUCGCUAUGUCUCCUCUGAAACAAUACCGGACGUGAACUUGGGAAGUGAUGAUCCUUCCUCUCAAGGACACACAGAACAAAGUAGUGUAAACAGGCCGGCAGAGAGCAUGUUGAGUCUGGUUCAAGAGUCAGCCAGUGAGCCGGCUGAUUCGAAUAUAACGGUUGUGAGGGAAGAGACACUGUCGGAAGGGCUUGCAAUAGUUUCGAUUCAAGUUUUUGUGCCAGUGUCCCAAACAACCACUGUGCCGGAAUUUGAAGAAAACACCUGAGACAGAUUUUGAACCAACCCCUCUGCUACAAAUUGAAGAAACUACAAAAACCACUCCUGAACCCCCCUAACAACUUGAAGAAAGCACACCCACGCUUCUCCCAGCUCCAUCUAAAAUUUAUCCAGCCGCAGAAGACGCUGUUGCGCUAAUGAUGAUGGCACAGACAGCAUCAUAUGUUCCUAAAACAGAUCCAAUGCCAUCAUUUAGCCUUGGCUUGACUGAUUCAAGCCAAGAAGAAGCAGCAACGCAGGAGGGAGCGUCAAUGCAGGAGGCAGACAGGGCAAAAACUCCAAAAACUGCAAAUUUGCUAGAACAAUUAGAGGAAAGUAAAAGUCCACAAAUUCAAAAGGAGACUGGCGGAGAAAGUUCUGGGAAGUUUAAAACUUCUGCGGGAAUAAAUCAAAAUACGGGUGAUAUGAAAGAGAAGUGCUACAUCUGGGCGAUGCGAGUGAAGACAUACGCAGAUGGCAAAACUAACGAGUUUGACAAUGUGUGCACUUUGAUUGCCCAAGAUAAAUACAUAUUGUCUAGAAAUGCACCUUGCAUCGCUCGAGGCAGGAAGUUAUAUAGAAGCUGAGAUUGUAUCUGCCAUGUGCCUCAUCCUCAACCAGAAAAAUGAUAAAAGAUUUCGAGAACAAGUAUACUGUCUCCCCCCUGAUAUUGUGAACAUGGCCAUUUCGAAGCACCCAAACGGGAAAUUCAUAUCACCCAAAACCAAUAAAGAAUUCAGGGUGGAAGACUACCCAAUGUUUAUUCCCUUCAUAGAUGCAAAAAAAUUAACUUCGCAUCGAUAUAUAAGUUUUCAUUUGUAAAAUUUGUUAGUACCGUUAUUUACUUAUAUGCCAAAUAAAAUAAUACACUGUUGAAAUGUGGUAAUCCUUCAGAUUUUUGUGCCUGUUUGCUAUUCAGGCCAUUGGUGGUUAUGGGUGAUUGAUACAACAAAGCGGAGAUUUUAUAUACUUGACCCGCUACACAAGAAAGCUCCAACCAAUGAGAGAAAGCAGCUUAAUAAAUUUACUGGAUAUGUAAUUUCAAGAAUUAAAGCAUAUGUCGGCGGGGCACCUCUGAAGAAAAAGGAGAAUGAGUUGGAAAUUAAAGCAACAUACGUUAAUAUCUCAGGCCAAAAAUCAAGCUAUGACUGUGCUAUUUACGUUAUGAAGUGGUUUGAGUUAAUUGAGCCCGAAAAUAUUAAAAGGGCGAAGUAUGAAUGAGAUAAUUGGCCACAGGACGAGGUGGACCACUAUAGAGUAGAAUAUGCUUCGCGGAUACUAUUCAGUGAAAUGAAUAAAGAGAGAAAUCAAGCAAUUAGAGCGAGUAAUGCAAUAAGACUGUCCAAGCCAUCCUCAGUAUUAUUGAGUCCAUUUUGUCAGAUAAAUUCUACUGAUAUAGAAACUGAGUAACUUAACUGCUAGCUAGUUUGUAAAUUGAACAAAUGCUGUAAAAAUUUGCCAUUUAUAAACAACUUCUAUUCAAUGAAAUUUUUUU